rnacentral:rRNA from 1 species
GGUUACUGCUAUCGGUGUUCGCCUAAGCCAUGCGAGUCAUAUGUAGCAAUACAUGGCGUACUGCUCAGUAACACGUGGAUAACCUGCCCUUGGGUCCGGCAUAACCCCGGGAAACUGGGGAUAAUUCCGGAUAACGCAUAUAUGCUGGAAUGCUUUCUGCGUAAAAUGGAUUCGUCUGCCCAAGGAUGGGUCUGCGGCCUAUCAGGUAGUAGUGGGUGUAAUGUACCUACUAGCCUACGACGGGUACGGGUUGUGAGAGCAAGAGCCCGGAGAUGGAUUCUGAGACAUGGAUCCAGGCCCUACGGGGCGCAGCAGGCGCGAAAACUUUACAAUGCGGGAAACCGUGAUAAGGGGACACCGAGUGCCAGCAUCCUAUGCUGGCUGUCCGGGUGUGUAAAAUACACCUGUUAGCAAGGGCCGGGCAAGACCGGUGCCAGCCGCCGCGGUAACACCGGCGGCCCGAGUGGUGAUCGUGAUUAUUGGGUCUAAAGGGUCCGUAGCCGGUUUGGUCAGUCCUCCGGGAAAUCUGACAGCUCAACUGUUAGGCUUUCGGAGGAUACUGCCAGACUUGGAACCGGGAGAGGUAAGAGGUACUACAGGGGUAGGAGUGAAAUCUUGUAAUCCCUGUGGGGCCACCUGUGGCGAAGGCGUCUUACCAGAACGGGUUCGACGGUGAGGGACGAAAGCUGGGGGCACGAACCGGAUUAGAUACCCGGGUAGUCCCAGCCGUAAACGAUGCUCGCUAGGUGUCAGGCAUGGCGCGACCGUGUCUGGUGCCGCAGGGAAGCCGUGAAGCGAUACACCUGGGAAGUACGGCCGCAAGGCUGAAACUUAA